rnacentral:rRNA from 1 species
CAGCCGCCGCGGGAAUACAGAGGUCCCGAGCGUUGUUCGGAUUCACUGGGCGUAAAGGGUGUGUAGGAGGUUGGAUAAGUCAGGUGUGAAAUCCCGCAGCUCAACUGCGGAACUGCAUUCGAUACUGUUCAACUAGAGGAUCGGAGGGGGAAGCGGAAUUCUUGGUGUAGCGGUGAAAUGCGUAGAUAUUGGGAAGAACACCAGUGGCGAAGGCGGCUCACUGGGCCAUUACUGACACUGAGAAGCGAAAGCAUGGGGAGCGAACAGGAUUAGAUACCCCGGUAGUCCCUGUCUCUUAUAC